UGAAACUGUAGUUCCACCAUGGCUGACGACGAAGAUUACAACAUUGAAAAUGCCGAUGCUGGUGCCUCCACGACCAUUCCUAUGGAAGCUGGUCAAAUCAAAAAGGGAGGAUACAUGAUG
rnacentral:ribozyme from 1 species